UACGAGGGGGGCAAGCGUUGUUCGGAAUUAUUGGGCGUAAAGGGUGCGUAGGCUGUGCGGUAAGUCACCUGUGAAAUCUCUGGGCUCAACCCAGAGCCUGCAGGCGAAACUGCCGUGCUGGAGUAUGGGAGAGGUGCGUGGAAUUCCCGGUGUAGCGGUGAAAUGCGUAGAUAUCGGGAAGAACAUCGGUAGCGAAGGCGGCCUGCUGGGCUCUUGCUGACACUGAUGCGCGACAGCGUGGGGAUCAAACAGG
rnacentral:rRNA from 1 species